ACACAGGUAUGGGAUCACAAUUUUUGCUUGUAUUUCACUUCCAGUUUCCAACGUCUUUCUUUGACAAACCCUGUGUAUGGGAACUGUUGUGUCACAGCCUGAAGCACUGAUUGAGCACCUGGGGAAAGUCAGUCCUGGGAGCACAGGUGAGGGCAAUUCAGCUGUGUGGCUGGAGGGGUGGAACCUGGCUCCUCAUUUAGACCUCAUUUAAGGACUGACUGUCACUGGGGAAGAAUCUCUGGUUGGAGAUCUCUCCUAGGUGAAGCCUCUUCCUGCAAGCCUAGCAUCUUCUGAUACAAAGAAUCUUGAGCUGCAUCUACCUUUCCCUGUGUUGUUCUCCAUCGAACUGGGAUCAAAAGCAGAUGAAGACACAAGCAUUAUUACUUCUUUCCACUGUGAGAGUGUUUUCAAUAAAUGAAAUUUAAUUGCUGAUGGCAUGAGUCCUACUGCUGGUAUCUCGGUGAAGAGAGGGUAAAGAUGUUGGGGAGUCAGUGUCUUCAGAGCCCGAAGAAGUGAAAGCACUGUUCAGAGCACUGCAGUACAGAAACGGAAUUUGUACAACGACAGCGAGCGCGACCCACGCGUAAACGCCUGAGGGAAGGCCGGGAGGCCGCACGGGACCUUCCAGCUGCAGGCCCGCGGCCGGCCGACAUUUCCUAAAGGACGCGCGAAGCAGAACGGCGCGUAGCCGCGCUCCGUCACACCGCGCGCCACUUCAUGACACCCGCUCGGACCUCCCCGCGCCGCACUCACGGCGGGGCCGUUCCCAGCCGGCCCGAGCAUCGGCACCGCGCGGCCCCGGCCCGCCCCGCGC